rnacentral:rRNA from 1 species
UGCCCUACGGGGGAAAGAUUUAUCGCCAUUGGAGCGGCCCGCGUCUGAUUAGCUAGUUGGUGAGGUAAAGGCUCACCAAGGCUACGAUCAGUAGCUGGUCUGAGAGGAUGAUCAGCCACACUGGGACUGAGACACGGCCCAGACUCCUACGGGAGGCAGCAGUUAGGAAUCUUGCGCAAUGGGCGAAAGCCUGACGCAGCCAUGCCGCGUGAAUGAUGAAGGUCUUAGGAUUGUAAAAUUCUUUCAGCGGGGAAGAUAAUGACGGUACCCGCAGAAGAAGCUCCGGCUAACUUCGUGCCAGCAGCCGCGGUAAUACGAAGGGGGCUAGCGUUGCUCGGAAUUACUGGGCGUAAAGGGCGCGUAGGCGGAUGACUAAGUUGGGGGUGAAAGCCCGGGGCUCAACCUCGGAACUGCCUUCAAUACUGGUCAUCUUGAGUUCGGGAGAAGUGUGUGGAACUCCCAGUGUAGA